rnacentral:rRNA from 1 species
GAUUAACGCUAGCGGCAGGCCUAAUACAUGCAAGUUGAACGGGAUUUCGGGUAGCAAUAUCUGGAUGAGAGUAGCGCACGGGUGCGUAACACGUAUGCAACCUACCUAUGACUGGGGGAUAGCCUUCCGAAAGGAAGAUUAAUACCGCAUAAUGAUCAGGAGAAGCAUUUCUUCAGGUCCAAACCUCAGGGGGUCAUAGAUGGGCAUGCGUAACAUUAGCUUGAUGGUGAGGUAACGGCUCACCAUGGCUACGAUGUCUAGGGGGUCUGAGAGGAUGAUCCCCCACACUGGUACUGAGACACGGACCAGACUCCUACGGGAGGCAGCAGUAAGGAAUAUUGGGCAAUGGACGAAAGUCUGACCCAGCCAUGCCGCGUGCAGGAUGAAGGCCCUCUGGGUCGUAAACUGCUUUUAUAUAGGAAGAAACCCUCGUACGUGUACGAGGCUGACGGUACUAUACGAAUAAGGAUCGGCUAACUCCGUGCCAGCAGCCGCGGUAAUACGGAGGAUCCAAGCGUUAUCCGGAUUUAUUGGGUUUAAAGGGUGCGUAGGCGGAUUAAUAAGUCAGUGGUGAAAGCCUGCAGCUUAACUGUAGAAUUGCCAUUGAAACUAUUAAUCUUGAGUUCAGUUGAGGUGGGCGGAAUGUGUCAUGUAGCGGUGAAAUGCUUAGAUAUGACACAGAACACCGAUUGCGAAGGCAGCUCGCUAAACUGAUACUGACGCUGAGGCACGAAAGCGUGGGGAGCGAACAGGAUUAGAUACCCUGGUAGUCCACGCCCUAAACGAUGAUUACUCGAUGUGUGCAAUACACCGUACGCGUCUAAGCGAAAGCGUUAAGUAAUCCACCUGGGAAGUACGUUCGCAAGAAUGAAACUCAAAGGAAUUGACGGGGGCCCGCACAAGCGGAGGAGCAUGUGGUUUAAUUCGAUGAUACGCGAGGAACCUUACCUAGGCUAGAAUGUUAGUGAAUUCCGCAGAAACGCGGAAGGCCGAAAGGACACGAAACUAGGUGCUGCAUGGUUGUCGUCAGCUCGUGCCGUGAGGUGUUGGGUUAAGUCCCGCAACGAGCGCAACCCCUAUCUCUAGUUGCCAUCAGGUAAUGCUGGGGACUCUAAACAGACUGCCUGCGCAAGUAGAGAGGAAGGUGGGGACGACGUCAAGUCAUCAUGGCCCUUACGCCCAGGGCUACACACGUGCUACAAUGGUUGGAACAACGGGCUGCUACAUGGUAACAUGAUGCAAAUUCAGAAAGUGCAUCUCAGUUCGGAUUGAGGUCUGCAACUCGACCUCAUGAAGUCGGAAUCGCUAGUAAUCGCGUAUCAGCAAUGACGCGGUGAAUACGUUCCCGGGCCU